CGUCUUGCGGGCGUCCUCACAAAUUACCUGCAUUCAGAGAUUCAUACCGGCACAGGUCGGUAUGCGAAGUCCCUUUUGGGGCCUUAGCUCAGCUGGGAGAGCACCUGCUUUGCAAGCAGGGGGUCGUCGGUUCGAUCCCGACAGGCUCCACCAUAUUGAGUGAAAAGACUUCGGGUCUGUAGCUCAGGUGGUUAGAGCGCACCCCUGAUAAGGGUGAGGUCGGUAGUUCGAGUCUACCCAGACCCACCACUCUGAAUGUAGUGCACACUUAAGAAUUUAUAUGGAUCAGCGUUGAGGCUGAUACAUGUUCUUUUAUAACUUGUGACGUAGCGAGCGUUUGAGAUAUCUAUCUAAACGUGUCGUUGAGGCUAAGGCGGGGACUUCGAGUCCCUAAAUAAUUGAGUCGUAUGUUCGCGUUGGUGGCUUUGUACCCCACACAACACGACAUGUAACUCCGAGGCAACUUGGGGUUAUAUGGUCAAGCGAAUAAGCGCACACGGUGGAUGCCUAGGCGGUCAGAGGCGAUGAAGGACGUGGUAGCCUGCGAAAAGUGUCGGGGAGCUGGCAACAAGCUU
rnacentral:rRNA from 1 species